GACGAACGCUGGCGGCGUGCCUAACACAUGCAAGUCGAACGGAAAGGCGCUGCUUUUGUGGGGUUCUCGAGUGGGGCACGGGUGAGUAACACGUGAGUAUCCCGCCCUUGACUUUGGGAUAACUUCAGGAAACUGGGGCUAAUACCGGAGAGGAGCUCCUGCUGCAUGGUGGGCGUCGGAAAGUGUCGGCGGUGGGGGAUGGACUCGCGGGUUACGAGCUAGUUGGUGGAGUAGUGGCCUACCAAGGCUUCGACGGGUAGCCCGCAUGGGAGGGGGGACAGCCACAAUAGUCCUGAGGUACGGAGCAGACUCGUACGGGAGGCAGUGGUCGAAAGUAUGGCACAGUGGGGGGGAGCCUGAGGCGACGGCGCCGGGAGCGGGAAGACGGCCUUCGGGUUGUGAACCGCUGUCGCCUGAGACGAAGCGUGAGUGACGGUAAUGAGUGAAGAAGCACCGGCUAACUACGUG
rnacentral:rRNA from 1 species